rnacentral:rRNA from 1 species
UCUUCAGUAACGUAGCUAACGCGUGAAGUUGACCGCCUGGGGAGUACGGUCGCAAGAUUAAAACUCAAAGGAAUUGACGGGGACCCGCACAAGCGGUGGAUGAUGUGGAUUAAUUCGAUGCAACGCGAAAAACCUUACCUACCCUUGACAUGCCACUAACGAAGCAGAGAUGCAUUAGGUGCCCGAAAGGGAAAGUGGACACAGGUGCUGCAUGGCUGUCGUCAGCUCGUGUCGUGAGAUGUUGGGUUAAGUCCCGCAACGAGCGCAACCCUUGUCUCUAGUUGCUACGAAAGGGCACUCUAGAGAGACUGCCGGUGACAAACCGGA